rnacentral:rRNA from 1 species
UACGUAGGGUGCGAGCGUUAAUCGGAAUUACUGGGCGUAAAGCGUGCGCAGGCGGUUCGUUAAGUCAGAUGUGAAAGCCCCGGGCUCAACCUGGGAACUGCAUUUGAAACUGGCGGGCUUGAGUGCGGCAGUGGGGGGUGGAAUUCCGCGUGUAGCAGUGAAAUGCGUAGAGAUGCGGAGGAACACCGAUGGCGAAGGCAGCCCCCUGGGCCGACACUGACGCUCAGGCACGAAAGCGUGGGGAGCAAACAGG